CUGAGGCAGGUUUUCGUUAUUCUAUUAGUACGCAAAUCUUAAAACAUUAGAUAUCACACUGAGAUCAGCUGGGGAUCAGCAGCCAUGCACAAUGGUGUGACCAAUUAAAAACUGAUCCUCUUGGGCUGGAGGCUGACCAUCCUGAGUUUAGAUUCGGUGUGACACACUAGAUCCAAGGCAGCAAAGAGGCUCGCAUAUGAUUAAAACGCUGUUGUCUCCUUCUAUAACCUACCCACCCUAACCCAACAGGCAUAUUUUCUGAUCUUUUGUCUCAGCACAAGAGCCCAAAGAGGUCUUUGUAUCCAGCUCUGACGUUAUGCCGAUGACAUCCUUGAGAGGUAGAAAAUAUUUGCUUCAUUGGCCUUUUGGUGUUCUUUUUUAACAGGUGUACCAUAUAUAAACUGCUUCAUUCCUUGUUGAAAAAAAGAAGUGUGAAAGGACAAUAGGUGUAUAUGAGAGGUGACAUCAAGGAGGGAGAGAGAGUACUGGCCUCCUUCCAAAGUACUCCUAGGACUUGGAGGGAAAUUGUAUGUGGAAUAUUCUUUCCAAUAUUGGUGGUGUGGCUCCUGUAUAAUUUGCCAGAUGAAAAUCAGGUGCACAUCUCUUCUGUCAAGAUAGAGACCAAUAUUUUCAGGGAAAAGUCAGAGAGAGGCAUCAGGAGGCAUGAAGCAUACUGGCAUGAGGCCUGCAGUGGACAAACACACAGAUCUUCAUCACUACAAAAAAGAUGCCUUGAUUUUCUCCCAUCCCAUCAAGCCAAACCUCAGAGGACCGCAGGAGGGAGAACUUACUUCUUCCUGCCAGCAAUGAACUAA
rnacentral:lncRNA from 1 species